AUGGAAACCCUGAUUGAAAUGGCGAAACGGGCCGCUUAUUUCAAUGAAAUGGAACUUCAGGUUCUCCUGGGGAGCUAUGACGAGGAGAAGGACAUUAUCACAAGAAAAGGGAACGCUAAAGCCUCUGCAACCCGGAGAACCAAAGCCUGGCAGCGGAUCGCUGACCGCGUAAAUGCGUUAGUUACACGUCAAAAGCAUGAUCGUUAAUAUUUGAGCCAUGAAUAUAUAAAUAUCCCAGUAAAGCAUUCUUAAAGAUCCUACCACAUAACCCCUUUCUUCUAAAAAAAUAUGUACUCCGAUGGCUUCCAAGCGGUCAGCGGAUCAAGUAUAAAAAUGAAGUAUAAAAAACAUACAAACUGGUAAGCUUUUCCCACCAUCGUAUUGGUAUAAAUUUAAAUAAGCAAUUUUUUUAAGCCAAUCGUGAAAAGGCCGACAGUCGGUAGACUGGAUCUGGCCCUCAAAUUGUCUUGACCCCGGUGGAGGAGCUGUUAAUAAACAUAAAUUCAGGGCGCCCUGGCAUGGAGGGGGUACCUGGAGGCAGGGCCAUACCCCACUGGUUGAAUGUAGGUUUUUGUGUUUUCUUGUAUUUUAGAUUUUUUUUUGCCUUCGAAGUAACGCAUGCAAACCAUGUGCUUGCCACAGCGCAUACUAUUCCAAGUGUUUCUUUUUUUGGUAACUGGGUAGAAAACCUAAAAGUGACAAUUCAUCAACUUCACAGAAUAAUAAUUGUUUUUUGUAUCUCCAAUAAUAAGUAAAAAUAAUAAUAAUAAAACAAUUGU